CUUAGGAAUCUGCCUAUUAAUGGGGGACAACAUCUCGAAAGGGAUGCUAAUACCGCAUACGCCCUACGGGGGAAAGCAGGGGAUCACUUGUGACCUUGCGUUAAUAGAUGAGCCUAAGUCGGAUUAGCUAGUUGGUGGGGUAAAGGCCUACCAAGGCGACGAUCUGUAGCGGGUCUGAGAGGAUGAUCCGCCACACUGGGACUGAGACACGGCCCAGACUCCUACGGGAGGCAGCAGUGGGGAAUAUUGGACAAUGGGGGGAACCCUGAUCCAGCCAUGCCGCGUGUGUGAAGAAGGCCUUAUGGUUGUAAAGCACUUUAAGCGAGGAGGAGGCUCUCUUGGUUAAUACCCAAGAAGAGUGGACGUUACUCGCAGAAUAAGCACCGGCUAACUCUGUGCCAGCAGCCGCGGUAAUACAGAGGGUGCGAGCGUUAAUCGGAUUUACUGGGCGUAAAGCGUGCGUAGGCGGCUUUUUAAGUCGGAUGUGAAAUCCCCGAGCUUAACUUGGGAAUUGCAUUCGAUACCUGGGAAGCUAGA
rnacentral:rRNA from 1 species